CAGCCGCCACGGUAAUACGAAGGGUGCAAGUGUUAAUCGGAAUUACUGGGCGUAAAGCGUGCGUAGGCGGUUUGUUAAGUCUGUUGUGAAAUCCCCGGGCUCAACCUGGGAAUGGCAAUGGAUACUGGCAAGCUAGAGUGUGUCAGAGGAUGGUGGAAUUCCCGGUGUAGCGGUGAAAUGCGUAGAGAUCAGGAGGAACAUCAGUGGCGAAGGCGGCCACCUGGGACAACACUGACGCUGAGGCACGAAAGCGUGGGGAGCAAACAGGAUUAGAUACCCCAGUAGUCCCUGUCUCUUAUAC
rnacentral:rRNA from 1 species